AGAGACCUGUUAUCCUUGAAGAAUGGCAGAGGCAGUCUUCCGUGCUCCUAAGAGGAAAAGAAGAGUCUAUGAGAGUUACGAGUCACCACUGCCCAUCCCCUUUGGUCAGGACCAAGGUCCCAGGAAGGAAUUCCGAAUAUUCCAGGCUGAAAUGAUUAGCAACAAUGUGGUGGUGAGGGGCACAGAGGACAUGGAGCAGCUGUAUGGGAAGGUAAGCCCAGGCCGUUCUGGUUCCUUCCUGGGGACACCCCAAGCAGCCACCUCCUCUUCCAGGUUCCUCCCAGAACCAACUAUAAGCAGCAGCUCUGAAACUUCAACUGUAAGCCUGAGAGCUAGACAUGCCCAACCACAAACCAAAAACACAGGGUGAAGCGCUGUAUAGUAAAGACAGAGAAGUAAUUUACAGAAAGAUAAUGAGUAAAGACUUGACAGUCAUCCCUACUGACUCCUGUCCCUUCCCAGAGGUCACUACACAGUGGCAUGGGACCCAUGAGCCAGGGCCUGUGGAAAGUUCCCCAACAUCUCUGCUCUCUCUCUCUCCUUGCUGGCAUUUGUUAGACAGGACAACAGAUGAGACCCACUCUCCAUCUCGUUUUUAUUGCUAGGACACUUUAAAAGCCAGCCUGAUAGAGAGAUGACUCAGCAGUUAAGAGCAGUGACUGCUUUUCCAGAUCUGAUCCCAGCCCCAAUAUGGCAGCUCACAGUUAUCUGUAAUUCUAGUUCCAGAUGAUUCAAUACCCUCUUCUGGCCUCUGAAGGCACCAGGCAUAUAUGGUAUACAGAUAGACAUACAUGCAGGCAAACACCCAUACACAUAAAUUAAAUAUGACUGGUCUUAAAAAGUAAUUGAUUUUUUUUUUACCUAAACUGAUUGAGAUGUAGUUUAUAGCCAUGAUGUUCACUCCUUAUAAGCAUACCUUUAAUUCAGUGACAUUAUAAAUUAAUGGAGCAGUGUUCUGUCAUCAGAAUCCAGUGUUAGGGUUUGCUAGUUUGGUUUGGUGCUGGGGUUUGCACUGAGGAUCAUGUGUUCCACCUCUGAACUGUACCUGCCAUCCCCACUGCCAUCCCCACCUAUGACAGUGAAUCCUGCUCCUGCUCCCAGCUCAGGACUAUGACAGGCAUUCUGCCUCGCUUCUACCUUCUCUAGAGAGUUUACAGUAAUGUCAGGGGCCUCAGCCUCGGGGUCCCUGGGGACCUGGUGCAUUAAGGCCUCAUUGGGUCCUAUGUGCCUACAGUUCCCUGCUGAGGCCUUUGUUUGUGACUAAGGUAAAAUGAGGCUUUACACAUACUGAAUAAGUUUUAUUCAUCUUAUUACUAUUUGAUUUUUUUUCUGUUUAUUUAUAAUCAAAACCAGGAAGAUUAUGUAUUUCGGGGAAAACAGCAGGAGAGAGAGGGACACUUCCUCUCCAGAGUACAGAAGAAUCCAAGAAUACCUAUGUCUGCAGUGGGUAUAGCUCUCACUCCCAGGUACACUGUGUUCCUGGGCCACAUGUGAGAAAAAGCUGCCCCUGCCUGUCCUAAUGCCUUCAGGGAUGCCAGACACAGGCCAGGGUAAUUUGUCAUGAGAAAGACGAGCUGGUGCUGAAAGCUGGAGGGCUGCAGAGAUGGAUCCGUGGGCAGAGUACACAAGGUCCUAAGUUCAGACCCCAGCCCUAUGGGAAAUAGUCAACACUGAUGGCAUGCAGAUGUGCACACGUGCACCUGCACACCCACAUGUGCAUACUGCACCUGCACACCCACAUGUUCACACGUGCACCUGCACACCCACAUGUACACACGUGCACCUGCACACCCACAUGUACACACGUGCACCUGCACACCCACAUGUGCACACGUGCACCUGCACACCCACAUGUGCACACGUGCACCUGCACACCCAAAUGUGCACACUGCACCUGCACACCCACAUGUGCACACGUGCACCUGCACACCCACAUGUUCACACUCGCACAUGAACACCUACACACACUAUACGCACUGCAGAGGUGGGGGUGUGAUCACUAGGAAAUCGGGGAGACGUGAGGCUGUUGAGUAGUGUACCCCACUGCAGCUGGAGCCUAACCACUGAGCAGCGCCCGUGUCUCUUCUUGAAAGGGUUACUUUGGAAAGGGGAUUCUUUCCAGAAGCCGUCCAAACUUCACAAUCGCCAACCCCACGCUGGCUGCCAGAUGGAAAGGUAAGCCGUGUCGCUCUCAUUUGGUGCUUACGAGUCCUGGGGACAUGGUAAGUUCUGAAAGAGAGGCAACACUGACAAUGAAGAGCAGAGCAGCUACAAGAAUUUGCAUCAAAACAGCUACUUGUUCUGUUUAGCUUGACUUUUUUUUUUUUUUUUUUUGACUGUCUCACUACUUAGCCCAGGCUGGCCUUGAACUCAGAGUCUCCCAUCUGCCAGCAGAUCAGGCAAAAGGAUCUUUUCUAGUUCUUGGAAAUGCGUUGCACCUUCCUUCUGGAAUGGUUAGAAGCCUUUACACAUAUAGGGCCUUGAUUCCAAUCCUUUGCCCCUCAAAGACAGGAAAACUAUUAAUCAAGCUUUUUGUUACACUUUGCCUGGUAGGAUGCUGUGUGUAGGAACUUCUCCCUGCCUGUGCUGCUGUCAAAAGGAGCUCGUUGGUUCAGAGGUAGAAUUUACAAUAACCAUGGCAUUGUUAAACCGAUUUAUUAACAUGGGCCUGGUGGUGGGCAACUUGGUGGAUAAAAGUGCUUAUCACCAAUCCUUAUGACCUGAGUUAGAUCUCCCAGAUGAACUGUGUUAAGAGUUUGUAUGUGUGUGAAAUAUACAUAUAUUUAUAUAUACAUAUAUUGUUAUAUAUUUAUAGAUGAAGGGGUUUGUUCAUAUAUAUAUAUUUAUAUGAUUUAUUAGAGUGGCUUACAGGCUGUGGUCCAGUAGUCCAACAGUGGCUGUCCGUCUCCUUAUAGGAAGUCCAAGAAUCCAAUAGUCCUUCAGUCCACAAUACUGGAUGUCUUAGCUGGUCUUUAGCAACCUUGGAACCCUGAGGAAGUAGGCUCUAACGCCAGUGAAGGAAUGCCACAGCAGCGGGGUAGAUGAACUGGAAAGUGAGGGCAAGCAGGCAAAAAGCGAAAGCUUCCUUCUUCUGGGUCCUUUUUAUGUGGGCUGCCAUCAAAAGGAAUGGCCCAGAUUUAGAGUGGGUCUUCCUACCUCAAAUGACCCAAUCAAGAAAAACUUCUUACACCUGCAUCCAACUACUUGCCUUUUUUUAGUUAAUUUCAGAUGUAGUCAAAUUAUCACAGACCCAUAUGGUGGAAAGAGAGAACUGAUUUCUGAGCUGUCCUUUGACCUCCACGCGUGCGCGCGCGUGCGUGUGUGUGUGUGUGUGUGUGUGUGCACACACAAAAAAAUAAAUAAGUAGAAUUUAAGAUUUAAAAGUAAGCUGGGCUGUGGUGGUGCACACCUUUAAUCCUAGCACUUGGGAGGCAGAGGCAGGUGGAUUUCUGAGUUCGAGGCCAGCCUGGUCUACAAAAGGGCUCUGCAGAGAAACCCUGUCUCAAAAAAAAAAACAAAACAAAACCUUUCUUCCUCAAAUUAUUUGAAUUGAAUCAGGAAUCCUAUAAAAAUCAUUAAUUCAUCUAAAUAGCAUUAAUUCAUGACAGUUCAUCUUGAUGUUGAUCUGCAGGAAAUCUGCUCAAUAGGGUGGGCUAAUGGCCAGGGAUUGUUAUAUUAAUUGAAUAAUGACAGGAAAGCCAUAUCAGCUGCAAGAAGCGAUCCUGAGAUGAAGUCUCUUUGCCUUGCCAUCGAGCUCACCCAUCACAGAGCAUGUAAAACCAGUGGGCUACCUCCAGGAAGGCUGCCUGCUAGCCUUGGCCUUAGAAAUGCAGAAAGCAGGAUGGGGUUGUGGCUUCACUGUGAUGAUAUUAAAUGAGAGCAUAAAGCUGUGAGCUGUGGGUAAACCAAAAUGGAAGCCUAAGAAAGAUGCAUUUUGGGGGCUAAAGAGAUGGCUCAGCCUUUGGGAGUACUGGCUACUCUUGCAUAGGACCCAGGUUCAGUUCUUAGCACCCACAUGGCAGCUCACAGCCAUCCAUUACAUCCCUGGGGAGCCAAUUCCUUUUUCUGACCUCCGCAUGCAUGUGGUGCACAGACAUAUAUGCAGGCAAAGCACUGAAACACAUUUUUUUUUUAAUGUUUCUUUUUUAAAAGGCAAUCCAUGGUGUUUUUGAAGAUGAAAGGAUUUGAGGAGGUAGAUUUAGGCCUGACUUAAAAAUUACACAAGUGUACACGGAUGGAAGCCAUGUUACCUCUUGAUGUUACAGAUUUUGUGUUUUUGUGUACCAGUUAAAAAGAAAGAAUAAAGCCAAACUUGGUUGUGCAGUUCUGAUAUCCUACUAUUUAGGAGGCCGAGAGGAAGCUUGUGAACUCAAGGCAGCCUGGGCUAGCUGCAAAUGGACAUCAAUCAAUCAAUCAAUACUGAAAGUAAAAACCAGGCAUGAUGAAGAACACUGAAAUCGUAGCAGUGUAGAUUAGAAGUACUGAAAUAGGAAGAUUGCUGUGAGUUUGGGGCUAGCCUACUACAUAGCCAGACCCUGUCUU
rnacentral:lncRNA from 1 species